GGUGGAUUGGCUCAGUGGUUAGAGUUAGAGCGUAGGUCUGGUAACCGAAAGGACGCGGGAUCAAAUCCAGCAGAGCCUG
rnacentral:tRNA from 1 species